AGAGUUUGAUCCUGGCUCAGAUUGAACGCUGGCGGCAUGCCUUACACAUGCAAGUCGAACGGUAACAGCACUUCGGUGGCUGACGAGUGGCGAACGGGUGAGUAAUACAUCGGAACGUGCCCGAGAGUGGGGGAUAACGCAGCGAAAGCUGUGCUAAUACCGCAUACGAUCUACGGAUGAAAGCAGGGGACCGCAAGGCCUUGCGCUCACGGAGCGGCCGAUGGCAGAUUAGGUAGUUGGUGGGAUAAAAGCUUACCAAGCCGACGAUCUGUAGCUGGUCUGAGAGGACGACCAGCCACACUGGGACUGAGACACGGCCCAGACUCCUACGGGAGGCAGCAGUGGGGAAUUUUGGACAAUGGGCGAAAGCCUGAUCCAGCCAUGCCGCGUGCAGGAUGAAGGCCUUCGGGUUGUAAACUGCUUUUGUACGGAACGAAAAGGUCUUUUC
rnacentral:rRNA from 1 species